rnacentral:SRP_RNA from 1 species
GCUGCGCAUGCUGGUGCAUGCCUGUGGUCCCAGCUACUCGGGAGACUGAGACUGGAGGAUCGCUUGAGUCCAGGAGUUCUGGGCUGUAGUGCGGUAGGCCCAUCAGGUGUCCACACUAAGUUUAGCAUCAAUAUAGUGACCUCCCGGGAGCUGGGACCACCAAGUUGCUUAAGGAGGGCUGAAUCAGUCCAGGUCAGAAACAGAGCAGGUCAAAACUCCUGUGCUGAUCAAUAGUGGGAUCAUGCCAGUGAAUAGCCACUGCCCUACAGCCUGGGCAACAUAGUGAGACCUGAUCUCU